UGAGGGAUAUUGGUCAAUGGGCGCAAGCCUGAACCAGCGACGCCGCGUGGGUGAAGAAGGUCUUCGGAUCGUAAAGCCCUUUUCCCACUGAAGAGGAAGGACGGUAGGUGGGGAAGAAGUCUCGGCUAACUACGUGCCAGCAGCCGCGGUAAAACGUAGGAGACAAGCGUUAUCCGGAGUUACUGGGCGUAAAGGGCGUGCAGGUGGCGUCUUAAGUCUGUUGUGAAAGCGCCUGGCUUAACCGGGCGAGGCCAAUGGAGACUGAGAGGCUGGAGGACGGCGGAGGGGUGUGGAAUGCCGGGUGUAGUGGUGAAAUGCGUAGAGAUCCGGAGGAACACCAGAGGCGAAGGCGGCACUCUAAGCCGUACCUGACACUGAGACGCGACAGCACGGGGAGCAAACG
rnacentral:rRNA from 1 species